rnacentral:rRNA from 1 species
UGAACGCUGGCGGCGUGCUUAACACAUGCAAGUCGAACGAACCUUUUCUUUGGAACGGGUUAGUGGCAGACGGGUGCGUAACACGUGGGUGACCUGCCUCGGAGUGGGGAAUAACUAUCCUAACGGAUGGCUAAUACCGCAUAUGCCCGGUGAUUCAUUUCGCCGUGUAAAGUCGCAAGACGCUUCGAGAUGGGCCUGCGGCGGAUUAGGUAGUUGGUGGGGUAAUGGCCUACCAAGCCGAUGAUCCGUAGGGGGCGUGAGAGCGUGGCCCCCCACACUGGCACUGAGAUACGGGCCAGACUCCUACGGGAGGCAGCAGUGAGGAAUAUUGCGCAAUGGGCGAAAGCCUGACGCAGCAACGCCGCGUGAGGGACGAAGGCCUUCGGGUCGUAAACCUCUUUUCUGAGGGACGAGACAAGGACGGUACCUCAGGAAUAAGUCUCGGCUAACUACGU